GUGUUUGCUUCGGCAGCACAUAUACUAACAUUGGAAUGAUACAGAGAUUAGCAUGGCCCCUGCGCAAGGAUAACAUGCAAAUUCAUGAAGCACUCCAUAUUUUU